rnacentral:rRNA from 1 species
GACGAACGCUGGCGGCGUGCCUAAUACAUGCAAGUCGAACGCAGUGGGGACGGGUGAGUAACACGUGGGUAACCUCCCAUCAGAGGGGAUAACACUUGGAAACAGGUGCUAAACCGAUACUGAUGGAUGGACCCGCGGUGCAUUAGCUAGUUGGUGAGGUAACGGCUCACCAAGGCCACGAUGCAGAGACGACCUGGGAGGGUGGUCGGCCAAACUGGGACUGAGAAACGGCCCAGACUCCUACGGGGGGCAGCAGUAGGGAAUCUUCGGCAAUGGACGAAAGUCUGAACGAGCAACGCCGCGUGAGGGAAGAAGGGUUUCGGGUCGGAAAACUCUGUUGUGAGAGAAGCGGUAUCUAACAAGAAAGCCACGGCUAACUACGUGCCAGCAGCCGCGGUAAUUC